CUGGUGCAAAACUCUUCAAUCCUGGGUAUUUCAAACCGGAGCUGAUGAAAGCCAGUCCAUUAGGAAGGAUGUCAAUGUCUUCUGAACCAGUUUCGAUCCCUUUGAUGAGAUGACAAUUCGGGAGGGCUACGGGGUCAACUUCUCGGGUAGCAUUGAGUCUGUUCCGGAACGCCAGCAGCCGCUCCGCCGCCAGCGCCGCCGCUAUCCCGACGAGAGCCGCCGCCAGCACCUUCCCCAUGGCCGCUCCCGGCUCCGCGCUGCCCGCCGCCUCCCGCCCCGCCCCGGGCCGCGCCGCACG
rnacentral:lncRNA from 1 species